AUACGUAGGAGACAAGCGUUGUCCGGAAUCACUGGGCGUAAAGGGCGCGUAGGCGGUUUUAUAAGUCAGAUGUGAAAUGUACCGGCUCGACCGGGGACGUGCCUUUGAAACUGUAAGACUUGAGUACUGGAGAGGCAAGUGGAAUUCCUCGUGUAGCGGUGGAAUGCGUAGAUAUUAGGAGGAACACCGGUGGCGAAGGCGGCUUGCUGGACAGAUACUGGCGCUGAGGUGCGAAAGCGUGGGGAGCGAACAGGAUUAGAUACCCUGGUAGUCCACGCCGUAAACGAUGAUGGCUAGGUGUUGGGGAAACUCAGUGCCGCAGUUAACACAUUAAGUUAUCCGCCUGGGGAGUACGACCGCAAGGUUGAAACUCAAAUGAAUUGACGGGG
rnacentral:rRNA from 1 species